GGAUGCGAUCAUAUUAGCACUAAUGCACCGGAUCCCAUCAGAACUCCGAAGUUAAGCAUGCUUGGGCGAGAGUAGUACUAGGAUGGGUGACCACCUGGGAAGUUCUCGUGUUGCAACC
rnacentral:rRNA from 1 species